AGCGAACGUUAGCGGCGGGCUUAACACAUGCAAGUCGAACGCGAAAGGGAUUCGUCCCCGGUAGCAUGACGUCCGAAUGAGUAACACGUAGGAAACCUUGCCUCGAGAGGGGGAUAACGUCCCGAAAGGGACGCUAAUACCGCAUAAGCCCACGUCGGCUCCGACCGACGAGGGAAAAGAUGGCCACUGAAUUCAAGCUAUCAAUUGAGGAUGGUCCUGCGGCGCAUCAGCUAGUUGGUGGGGUAACGGCCUACCAAGGCGAAGACGCGUAGCUGGUCUGAGGGGAUGAUCAGCCACACUGGCACUGAAACACGGGCCAGACUCCUACAGGAGGCAGCAGUGGGGAAUAUUGAACAAUGAGCGCAAGCCUGAUCCAGCCACGCCGCGUGAGUGAUGAAGGCCUUCGGGUUGUAAAGCUCUGUGGGGAGGGGCGAAAACGGCCGGUAAGAAACGACCGGUCCUUGACGGUACCUCCUUAGCAAGCACCGGCAAACUCUGUGCCAGCAGCCGCCGUAAUAC
rnacentral:rRNA from 1 species